AGUGACAAUUAAAGAGUAUCCAUAGUUUGCAAUAGAAAAUUGAAGUCAUCUUCUUUGACGAAGUAGCUGUGGCGGGUCCACAUCAGAUAGGCUUAUUCCAUCGAAUGAUCGGAAUAUCUCUUCCAUUGAAAAAGAGAACUUCACAUUCUUUACUUAUAUUACUGGCUUACCAUCGACAUAUAGUUGAUAGUUAUGGAGUGAUAUUGACUUUCUUACCAAUCAAACAGCCUAGAGUACACAGUCUUAGCUAAGGCAUCACGACUCAAGACAGCUAAAUCUGGGUCCAGAGGUUUUGUAAUGUUUCCGUCAGGAGUCACUAUGACACGCUUGCAAAUUAGAAGAUGGUAGCGUGCUUUAUCAUCUUUGAGUUUGGAAGAAUCUGUUUCUUUUCCUUUGAUGAAGUCAAUAUUUCCAAGAUGGAGGAUCGCAGCAACUACACGGAAUAUCGCAUCCUACAGAAGAGAAAUGAACUUCAGGUAUCUGCAUUAUGCCUACAGGAAACUUCAAAUCAAUAAUUUGUUCCUCUAGGGUUGUAAAUUAUCAAAACCUGUUCAUCCUGGCUGAUCCCUACAAUAUCCAUUGCAUUUCUGGUCUCCAAAUACUCUCUGGCAUCAUCUACAUUUGCUACUUGAUAACAAUUGGAUUGGUUCAAAUAGUGGAAUUCUCUUGGAUCCCCUAACUUGAAUUUUUUUACAUCCUGAUAGGAAACAUCAGUCAGGUAGCUUUCCCAUGACUUAUUUAACUUGGUUGGAGUAGAAGAAAAAAUAUAUAGAAUCACCUCUGGGGGUGCUGCACAAAGCAUGUAAAAACAAUGGUAAUUUCUCUCAGGGUCAGAAACUUGGCAAACACGUGACCUUUCAAGAAGAUAAGUGCGAACUGCAGCUCCAGAUAUCUUCCCUUGCUUAUCAAACUGUAUCUCAACAAACUUUCCAAAACGACUGGUUGAAUCAUCCAAUUUUUAGUUGUAAGUUCAACUAAUAUAGGAACAGGAAAUUCUAUAUUUUGGGGAAAAAAAGGAGUAUAGAGUUAAAAAGGCCAUCAAAAUUUCACCUGGAAUUGUUAUUUUUCACAGUUUUAGCAUUCCCAAAUGCUUCCAGGACUGGAUUUGACUGGGGAAGUGGAAAUAUAGUUAUGCAUGCCAUUAGUGGAAUCUUCUAAUAGUCAAUAUUGUGUCAUUCUUCUAACUUACCUCCAAAACUUGUUGUUCUACAGUUCUUCCUUCUGUGCCUGAUCUGCCCCCCAUGAAUGCAAGGUAUCUCAUAAGCAUCUUUGUUGUCUCUGUUUUACCAGCUCCACUCUCCCCACUUACCAAAAUGGACUGGCUUUCCUGUUCGUUCAUCAUUGCUCUGAUACAUAAAUUUAUUAUGUUAGAUGUAUAUUAUAACAUGAUUUUGUGUAGUGUGUUUUGUGCUUCUAUAUUAUACCUGUAACAAGUGUCUGCCACAGCAAAAAGGUGUGGACUCAGCUCCCCAAAAGCUGCUCCUUUGUACUGCUCCAUCAUGUGAAUGUCGUACAAAUGCGGCAGUCUUUGGAAAGGAUUAACGGCAAUUAGAAUGUUCCCAGUUGAUGUCAGUUAGGUUAAUUUUGACUCACAUAUAUCUCAUUGAGAGAAAACCGACAAGCAAGGUUAUGUAAGACCCCUGGUUCAUGGAGGUAAGCCAAUUUGGUCAUGUCAUCAACUCCUGCUGGUGGUGCCUCUGUGUCUUUCGGAUAUAUGCUGAAAAUUUCAGCAGCUAUCUGGAGUUGAGGGUGCUCAACAUGGUUGCGAGGGAUCAAUCGCUUGAAGCAUUCCUCAAUUAAGGACACGGCUGCCCCUUGUUUUGAGCAACUUAGAAUUUUGGAGUUUUUCCAGAAACAUUAUUUUGCCUUUGCAACGAGAUGACUGAAUUAUGGAAGAAGAAUAGUGAUAGAAUUAGAGACUACCAGUAAUGCCUGGUUUUUAAAGUAAUAUGAUGUUGUCAGUCAAUAACAUAAUGAAUGACAUUUGGUGAUUUGUGGAGAUUAAAAGAAGGCAGAUGACAACUAGAAUGGAGAUGAUCGAUGUAGACCAUGCAUCUUAUUUUUUAAGCAAGUCUCCUCUCUUUACUCACCUUUAAUAUGAAUACUAAGCAUUGCUUCCACCCUCCACCAAACUUGAGGUGGCCGUGUGGGCCUUUCUGUGGCUUUUUUAUUCGUAUUCUCAAGUCUUCCUUUCUCAAAUGCCGGUGCCAGUAAAAAAAGAGCUUCUUUCUUGUGGGACCCUGAAGACCGGAAAUUAUGCUCUGCAUAGCUUUCCAACCGAUCUUUCCUUGCAUUCCUUUUCCUUUUUCUCUUCUUUAUUGAUCUGUUCUCUCUCAUUACAACUGAUUGAAUCAUUAUUCUUGAUUGCUAAGGCUGUUCUGUAAGAUAGCUCGGAAUAACCUGCUUGUUGCCCUUGUAAAUAACCCACGCUGCUGCGCUUGCUUUGUAUGCUGUGUUAUUCAUGAGGUGCCUUCUGUUGUCAGAGCUUUUUUACAAAUAAAAUUGGGCCAAGUAAUGGAUACAGAAUUGGCCCAAGAAAAUAAAUUCAUGCAAUGUCUCCCCAGUAAGAAUAUAAGCUGGGAUUAGACUUCAAACUCUGGAGAUAAAGCGGGAAUUCAACACCCUUUACCUUUUGUUUGAGAGGAGAUUUUUCAAGGUAAUGAAAAGUUUCUCUAAGAUUUAAAAAUCUUGAAACUGUGUUUAGGAAGAAAUGUAAGUUUUUAAAGUAAGGUCUUUCGAAAACUCUCAAUUUUAACCCACCGGAUUGGUGGAUUGAGAAUGUUUCUUUUUAAAUCCUUCAAAUAUCUUAAAAAACAAUCAUUACUUUUCAAACAUAAGAAAAUUAUCAGAGUUUAAAAAUUAUAAAAAAUCAUGCC